AGUGAACGCUGGCGGCAGGCUUAACACAUGCAAGUCGAACGGCAGCACAGUAAGAGCUUGCUCUUACCGGUGGCGAGUGGCGGACGGGUGACGAAUACAUCGGAAUCUACUUUUUCGUGGAGGAUAACGUAGGGGAACUUACGCUAAUACCGCAUACGACCCUCGGGUGAAAGCAGGGGAUCUUCUGACCUUGCGCGAUUGGAUGAGCCGAUGUGGGGUUAGCUAGUUGGCGGGGUAAUGGCCCACCAGGGCGACGAUCCGUAGCCGGAGUGGGAGACUGGUAGGCCGCACUAGAGCGUGACCAGGGACCUGACUACUGAGGGAGGCAGCAGUGGGGAAUAUUGGACAAUGGGCGGGAGCCUGGUCCAGUCAUACGAAGUGGGUGGAGGAGGCCUUCGGGUUGUAAAGCCGUUCUGUGGGGAGAGAAAAGCAGCAGGUUAAUACGACGCGGUACUGACGGUACCGAAAAAAUAAGCACCGGCUAACUACGUG
rnacentral:rRNA from 1 species